rnacentral:rRNA from 1 species
AUUGAACGCUGGCGACAUGCCUUACACAUGCAAGUCGAACGGCAGCACGGGUGCUUGCACCUGGUGGCGAGUGGCGAACGGGUGAGUAAUACAUCGGAACAUGUCCUGUAGUGGGGGAUAGCCCGGCGAAAGCCGGAUUAAUACCGCAUACGAUCUACGGAUGAAAGCGGGGGACCUUCGGGCCUCGCGCUAUAGGGUUGGCCGAUGGCUGAUUAGCUAGUUGGUGGGGUAAAGGCCUACCAAGGCGACGAUCAGUAGCUGGUCUGAGAGGACGACCAGUCACACUGGGACUGAGACACGGCCCAGACUCCUACGGGAGGCAGCAGUGGGGAAUUUUGGACAAUGGGCGAAAGCCUGAUCCAGCAAUGCCGCGUGUGUGAAGAGGGCCUUCGGGUUGUAAAGCACUUUUGUCCGGAAAGAAAUCCUUGGCCCUAAUACGGUCGGGGGAUGACGGUACCGGAAGAAUAAGCACCGGCUAACUACG